rnacentral:tRNA from 16 species
GUCGAAUGGUAAUGCAGCUGACUGCAACUGUGCAGGUCGGCGGUUCAAAUCCCAGU